rnacentral:tRNA from 1 species
UGUGUUGUGGCUCAGUGGUAGAGCACUUGCCUAGUAUGUAUGAGGCACUGGGUUCAAUCCUCAGCACCACAU